GAUAACUCAUGUAUAUACAUUUAGGCAAUGUCCAAUUUCGUUAAAGAUACUAUGAGCUGCAUUGACCUCGGCAGCCCAAGUCAGGCCGACGAAAGAAGCACACAUACACAAAUGGGAUAAUAGGCAAACGGGAAACCGUAUAACUUCGAACUAUCAGGAAAUUAGACAUGAACUAGGUGCAAGAAAAAUAAUGAUUACAUACCGUGUUCAGUCCUUUUUUCUCUAUUACAUGGACUUUUGAAUCCAGAGGAUGGUUUCAAAUCUUCGUACUACAAGAACGUGUACAAAUUCCGAGUUACCUGGCCGAGACUCGGUUUGGGGGGGGGGGGGGAGGAUAAAAAAAAUGUACGAUUAUUUUAUGAAAUAAAAAUCUCACACAUUUCCAUUCAAGGAGAACAAUGCAGUCGAGAGAUAACUCUGUGCCUGAGAUAUCAUAUAUAUAUAUAUAUACAUAUAUAUGUAUANNNN
rnacentral:lncRNA from 1 species